AACACGUGGUUGAUUAGUAGAUAAAUAGGGCCUCAUGCAGCUCUUACAUCCUUUCUGCUCGUAACGCUUAAUGGAGUUGAAACCUCUUCAAGUAGACCAGUGUUAAAAAAAUAUAUGUUAUAAUGUUUAGCGCCGCGCGUGUUUCAAUAUUUAUUUUAAUUACGCGUUAGUGUUUAGAUAUACAUCCCAACUUAACGCGUUAACAGGAAGCGGAGCAGUUUUUGGGUUGGUUACCGGAGUUUUAGUCGCCGACCAGCGUCAACAUAUUCUUACCGCUUCAGUAAACAUGUAGGCUGUAAGGAAAGGGCGGGUUCACAGUCAUACCUUUGUGAAAUGGACUCAUCGGAUAAUUUUCGGAACCCGCGUUUGGCAAAUGGAGGUGAGCUGAAACCACGUGUUUCCUCAUGCAUUUGGACUGCUUGUUAGUUCGUGCUUCUGAUAGCCAGUGAUGUGGUCAGGCUGUUUUUUUAAAUUGAGGUAUAGUUUGUUUCAUAUUAGCACAGUCGUUUUUUUUAACGGUGACUACUUGACUUAUUUUGUUUAUCAUGCUACUUUGAAUAAUUGGUUUCAAAGCGUAUGCAAACAUUACUUAAAAGCAACACUUAAUUGACUGAACAUGUACUUUGAUAGUCAUUGCAUGCUAAUAUGAUUUCCCUAUUUAUAAUUUGUGAAUUAAUAUUCUUCUGAUGUUAUAUUAAGGAUAAUGUAAAACAAACUAAGAGUAAAAUCCCUUAAACGUUAAUUUAAGUCUUUUAUUAAUUGUGAAUUGUAUUUGUUCGUGGUAAUUUUGUUUGGGUAUUUCAAUAUAAGUUUCUGGCAUUCACUUUUACUACUGAGUAACCCAGUUUUAUUAAACUAACUUGCAUUAAACGUGUAGACAUUUCUCAUGGUCUCUGCUUAGAAGGUAAAUGUAAGCUGAUUGUCACAAAUGAUUUAAAACCGCUUCAAUAAAUGUACUUUUUGAUCUGA